rnacentral:rRNA from 1 species
AUACGGAGGAUCCGAGCGUUAUCCGGAUUUAUUGGGUUUAAAGGGUGCGCAGGCGGCCAUUUAAGUCAGCGGUUAAAUCGUGGGGCUCAACCCCAUUCUGCCGUUGAUACUGGGUGGCUUGAUUGCGGUCGAGGUUGGCGGAAUUCGUUGUGUAGCGGUUAAAUGCAUAGAUAUGACGAAGAACACCGAUUGCGUAGGCAGCUGACCAGACCGCAAAUGACGCUCAUGCACGAAAGUGCGGGGAUCGAACAGGAUUAGAUACCCUGGUAGUCCGCACAGUAAACGAUGAAUACUUGUUUUCGGCGAUAUAAUGUCGGAGGCAAAGCGAAAGCGAUAAGUAUUCCACCUGGGGAGUACGCCGGCAACGGUGAAACUCAAAUGAAUUGACGGGG